rnacentral:tRNA from 1 species
GCUAGCGUAGCUUAAAUAAAGCAUAACACUGAAGAUGUUAAGUAUGCACUACACA